rnacentral:tRNA from 1 species
GGAGGGAUGGCAGAGCGGCUGAAUGCGGCGGUCUCGAAAACCGUUUAGCUCCUCUGGAGCUACGAGGGUUCAAAUCCCUCUCCCUCCGCCA